ensembl:antisense
GGUUCCUGCAACUGCUGCAGACGCCACAGUUGAUGAGCCUCUUGCAGGGCACGCAGACCCCACACCUUUUCCUCUUCUUCUUGGCCGGGUUGGCUCCGCCAGCUCCCCCCGAGGAGGACGAGGAGGAGGAGGAAUGAUUCUGCGGGCAGUCUGCCAGAUUGGCAAUUUGAAACGCACUGUCUGUGACGGCUGCUGAGGCUGCUGCGGGGGAGUGAAGGGCUGUCAUGACGAUGACCCCUGGAGGUGGAGACAGAAAAUCAGAAGCAAUCAAAAUGCAGUUUAUGGAGCUUAGUCCCAACAAUUACCUCUCCAACUCCGUCACCUAUGGCCCACUGAAGAGGGCUCUUCAUUGCAGAAGAGAGUGUAGAAAGAUCGGAAGAGCCGGAAGGUUGAGGAAGUUGUUAUGGGAUGGAGUUUGCUCUGAGAUGGUGUCUCCUAGGAAUGUCAGAAGGGCUAGACCAAUAAAUAUCCUUUCAUGGUUAAAAAAUACUAUAAAAAUGAGGUCUGGAAGGAAUUUAUCCUAACAUAGGGGAUACGUGUGAAAACUUUCUAGCUUCUAUCAUUAUAAACAGAAGGAAAGCUGAAAUUGUUGUGCAGAGAUAGUGGUUCGAGACCCCUUUGGGGGUUGAAUGACCAUUUCACAGAGGUUGCCUGAAACCAUCUGAAAAAGAUAGUUAUAUUAUAAUUCAUAACAUUAGCAAAAUUACAAUUAUAAAAUAACAAUGAAAUUUAUGGUUGGGGGUCACUACAAAUUGAGGAACUGUAUGAAAGGGUCUCAGCAUGAUGAUGGUUGAGAACCACUGGUCUAAGAUGAGGAAUAAGACAAAGAUUCCAUCUUCACAACUCAUAUUUAAUAUAGUAUUAGAAGUUCAGGCCAAGAAAUAAAACAAGAAAAAGAAAUGAAGGACAUCCAAAUAGAAAAGGAACAAGUCAAAUUACUUCUGUUUAUAAAAUUAUGACUACACAUAUAGAAAAUCGAUUUCCUCCCUGCAAAAAUUUUUACAGUGAUAAAUUUAAUAGUUACAGGCUAUAAAACCACCAUAAAAAUAAGUAGCAUUUUGUACUUUAUUAAUAAAGUUUCUAAGAAACCAAAGAAGCAAUCUCAAAAACAGAUGUAAAAAAUACAUAAAAGAAAAUUUUAAACAAGGAAAUUAAUGAUCUCUGCAAAGAAAUGAACAAAACACUGUUGAGAUAAAUUGAAGAUGACACACAAAAAAUGAAAAGAAAUCCUAUGCUAUGCUUUUGGAAUGAAAAAUAAUAAUAUUAAUAUAUUAACUGUUCCUACCAAAAUAUCAUUGAAAUUUUUCAUGUAGAAAACACACUCCAAACAAAUUUUAUGAAACUACUAAAGAACUUAAAAAUAGCAAAAAGAGUUCUGAGCAAAACAAACAAUACCGGAGAUAUUGCAAUGUCUGCUAUGUAAACAUACUUAGUAUUACUAAAGAAAGUAUAGAGUGAUAGAAAGCAAAACAUAGGUGAAUGACCUGAAUUGACUUUGCCCCAAUAUAUUGUAUAAAUUGCUAAGAAGAAUAUGAAAAAAAAAAAACGUAUCAUCAGAGAAAUGCAAAUUGAAACCUCCUCAAGAUAUCAUAUUACCCCUAUUAGAAUGCAUAUCAUAAAAAGAACAAACACAGGUUGGCAAAGAUGAGAAAUUGGGAACUCUCAUGUAAUGGCGGAAAUAUAAAUUAGGACAUAAGGGAAAACAGUAUGGAAUAUAAUAUGGAAUUUCUCUACAAAGCUAUAAGAAAAGCCUUAUAUGAUCUAUGAAUCCCACUACUGCUAAGGAGUCAAAGGAAAUGACAUCAUCAUCAGGCAUGCUGCACUAGCAUGCUGGUUGCAGAAUUUUCAAAAUAGCCAGUACAUCGAAUCAGCCUAUGUGUAAGAUAAAUAGACAAGGAAAAUGUGGUGGAAAUACAUAACGGAGUGAAAGCAAUGAAGAGAACAGAAGUCUGUGGAUUGUAGCAUGACUGAAGACAUUAAAAAGAGUGAAAACUCAGACGCAAAAGCUGAAGUCACAUGCUCUCUCCUAUGGGUGCUAAAGUUGAUUUCACAGAGAAUAAAAUAAUACCAGAGGCUGCUUAGUAUUACACAGAGUAUUGUUGUUGGUUUCCAGUUAGCAGGUUGAUAUGGGGAAUAACUUCUANNNNNUGAGCAGUACUCCAUUGUGUAAAUGUACCACAUUUUUUGUAUCCAUUCCUCUGUUGAGGGGCAUAGCAUACAUAAUUACUAUGUUUCUUGACAAUUAAUUGAACAUUUCAAAAUAGAUAGCAGAGAGAAAUUUGGAUGCUCAAAUAUUGUAGGAAAAGUUUUAGAUAUUUCACUUAUAUUUCCAUGUCACAAACAUGUGUGGUAGGUUGUGUUUGUUUUUGUCACCCCUCUGUAACUAAAACCCUUCACAGAAGUAACUUGAGGGGGAUUUCCUUCAGCUCGAGGUUUCAGAGGGCUGUCAUUGAUUUUAGAGAAGGGAAGCACAACAGAGCAGUUCGGUUCAUAUUGGUGAAAGCUGUUCGCAUGGUAAUGGAUGAGGAAGCAGAGCCAGAUAGCCUGCAAAGGGAAUGCCUCUCCAGACCUACUUCUGCCAGAUUGGCCCCAUUCUGCAAAGUUCCUGCAACCUCCCAAAAGAGAACCAUCAGCUGGGAAAGAAGCCAAACAAGACUUCAUAACGAGAACUUCUGAGGACUAAUUCAGAGGGAAAUCACACACUAUGGAUUAACUAAAAAUAAAAAUAAAGGAGGAAAAUCAUUUUUCUCAGUGGUGCAGCCAUUGAUAAGCUACAUCCAUCCCAUAGAAACAAUACAAGUUAAAAUUAAGUAGGGGUAUUCACGUAUAAAAACAAAUAAAAAUGUAUAUUAAUACAAAUAUAUUACAAAUAAUAUAUAUUCUUACAAAUAUUACAUAUAUACAGAGAGAAACUGCUUAGUUUUCAGAAAGAGAUAAACAUCAUAACUGACUACACUAAUAAUGUUACUAUCCUUAUGAACACUGAGAGCUGUUACAUGAGAAUAGUUGUAAUUUAAUACUUAAUAUUUCCUUUUCUUUGUGACUGGCAUGUCCAUUUCUACAUGUAGUUUUUAUGAAUUCAUUUUCAAAUUCUUUCUUAUGUGGCUGUAGACUUCAGUGCCCUGUGAGUUACAAGAUGACCACCAACAAUGAAAGGAUAGUUUAUUGUCACAAAGGAUAUAUUCAAAAUGGGAACAAUUUAGAGACUUAUUUUCUCAGUAUCUCAAAUAUUUUGCUUUACACUCAGGUACUAAUAAUUCUUUCAAUGUUUUCUGUUGCUCACUGCUACCCUCAUGUUUUGUGAAAUAAUCCUGUAGAGAUUGUAUAGUUAUCAAGGCCUCCAAGGUUGUCUUAUAUCAUUUUUUGCCUGUUUAUUUUCCUGUCAAUCCACGUGUAAACAUUAAACGAGGUACUCAUAUCAUACCCUUAAUGAAUGCUGCUGUGUGUCCUUCCUUGUCAUGAUGCUGUCUGAGAUCUUUCCUAUAUCUUUAUAUGUAUGUGAAGGAUUAACAAGACCUAUACUUGUUCCAGUUAUGAUUUUUUUCACUAUUUAUUUCCCAUCAAGUGUUUAAAUAUAAAUUUAUAAAU